rnacentral:rRNA from 1 species
GUGCCAGCAGCCGCGGUAAUUCCAGCUCCAAUAGCGCAUAUUAAAGUUGUUGUGGUUAAAAAGCUCGUAGUUGAACCUUGGGCCUGGCUGGCCGGUCCGCCUCACCGCGUGCACUGGUCCGGCCGGGCCUUUCCCUCUGUGGAACCCCAUACCCUUCACUGGGCGUGGCGGGGAAACAGGACAUUUACUUUGAAAAAAUUAGAGUGCUCCAGGCAGGCCUAUGCUCGAAUACAUUAGCAUGGAAUAAUAAAAUAGGACGCGCGGUUCUAUUUUGUUGGUUUAUAGGACCGCCGUAAUGAUUAAUAGGGACAGUCGGGGGCAUCAGUAUUCAACUGUCAGAGGUGAAACUCUUGGAUCAGUUGAAGACUAACUACUGCGAAAGCAUUUGCCAAGGAUGUUUUCACUAAUCAGGGACGAAAGUUAGGGGAUCGAAGACGAUUAGAUACCGUCGUAGUCUUAACCAUAAACUAUGCCGACUAGGGAUCGGACGGUGUUAUUCAUGACCCGUUCGGCACCUUACGAGAAAUCAAAGUGCUUGGGCUCCAGGGGGAGUAUGGUCGCAAGGCUGAAACUUAAAGAAAUUGACGGAAGGGCACCACCAGGGGUGGAGCCUGCGGCUUAAUUUGACUCAACACGGGGAAACUCACCAGGUCCAGACACAAUAAGGAUUGACAGAUUGAGAGCUCUUUCUUGAUUUUGUGGUGGUGAUGCAUGGCCGUUCUUAGUUGUGGGGUGACUUGUCUGCUUAAUUGCGAUACGAACGAGACCUUAACUGCUAAUAGCCCGCAUUGCUCCGGCAGUGCGCUGGCUCUAGAGGACUUCGCUCAGCGAGAGUUGAGCAAUAACAGUCUGUGAUGCCUUAGAUGUUCUGGGCCGCACGCGCGCUACCC